AUAAGCCUACGGGGGGCAGCAGUGGGGAAUAUUGCACAAUGGGCGCAAGCCUGAUGCAGCGACGCCGCGUGCGGGAUGGAGGCCUUCGGGUUGUAAACCGCUUUUGUUCAAGGGCAAGGCCCGGUCUUUGGCCGUGUUGAGUGGAUUGUUCGAAUAAGCACCGGCUAACUACGUGCCAGCAGCCGCGGCAAUACGUAGGGUGCAAGCGUUAUCCGGAUUUAUUGGGCGUAAAGGGUUCGUAGGCGGUUCGGCGCGUCCGGUGUGAAAGUCCAUCGCUU
rnacentral:rRNA from 1 species